rnacentral:lncRNA from 1 species
AUCUCUACUACUAAUAAACAAGCAAACAAGAACUUCGCUAAAUACACCCGGCAACUUGUCCCACAAAACGCACGGAACAAUCAACACCACACAAUUAUACCCGCACAUCUAAAUCUAACAGCCAUCAUUCAUUUGCUGCCUGUACGGUGUGGACUUAGGAAAUACCCUUGACUGACCGUGCUCCACCUCCAGCACCCCCCAUCCACCCCCUACAAUCACGCUGUACUCCAGGUAAAUAAGGAAACAACAUUAAUUCGUCAUCACACCACGCUGAUCUCCUGGUAAAAUAAGGAAACAAAAUUAAUUCGACAUCGCACCAUCGCCAACGUCAUCGCCAUUGUUGCCGACCAACGUGGAGACCGUCCGCGAGCAGCGUCGCUUCCUUCCCCGAGGUCGCCAGGGCAGCGACGCCACAAAACUUCCAGCAAGGUCGCCAUGGCAGCGACGCCAGGGAACGCCCAGGAUCCUGCCCUCGCAGCGUGGCAUCCCUACGGGAGAUCCCCACUGGUACAGCCCGCCCUGCCCGUCGCAGCCAGCCGGAUACACGCAGCUGUAAAAUUCUUCUCUCCACUUUAGUCUAAACUUCUUCCUUUGACCUGCUUCUUCCUUUGACCUGUUGCAUCAAUACUCCAAAUUAUUAUUUUCAGAAUAUAUAGUUCUAAAAUAUACACGCGUGCACAUCACAAUACUACACAUCUGUAUCGAUUUCCAGCCUAACUGAUACAUGCAUCCUAUGUCCUAGACCUGGUGUGAACUAAAAUAGCCAUUCAUAUUUUAGAGUUGUGGUUUCGAAGUUAUUUGUAAAUGUAAUCCAUAUGAACAUUAUUCUUUUACUUACUUCAUUAACAUAUGUGCCAAUAUGUUCGCACCAUACCCUCAGGGCCAUUACCUUGACUGUCCAUUCUAGAUAAUUAAGCUCCAAGGCACUUGAUCAAUUGACAACUGUAAAAAACAGGUUGCAAGUGCAUGUGAUGCCUACUUACUUUCUGAUGAAGUCAUAACCAUCUGCAUACUUGGUUGCCUGAUUUUAUUUUAAAUGGAGUUGUAUGCGUUGGUAAGAAAUUAAGGUGUUUGUAAACUUGGUGAGACUAUCUUGACGACAAAGGGAGGGGACAAACUAUAGCCGCUCUUAUCCCCUUAGAGGGAGAGGUUAGGAGAGAACAAACCAUAUCUUUAGUCUAAACUUCUUCCUUCGACCUGCUUCUUCCUUUGACCUGUUGAAUCAAUACUCGGAAUUGUAAUUUUCAGAAUAUAUAAUUCUAAAAUAUAAACAUGUGCACAUCACAAUACUACACAUCUGUAGCUAAUGUUUAUUGACCUGUUGCAGCAAUACUCAGAAUUGUAAUUUUCAGAAUAUAUAGUUCUAAAAUAUACACAUGUGCACAACACAAUACUACACAUCUGUAGCGAUUUCCAGCCUAACUGACACAUGCAUCCUAUGUCCUAUACUUGGCGUGAACUAAAAUAGCAAUUCAUAUUUUAGAUUACAUCUAGCAGUGGGGAUAAAAAAUAUAGCUUCAUUGUCCCAAGUAGAUACGUCAGGAUAAAGAAUAGAAGUUAAUUUCCGCACCAAUAAAUCACAAUUUCUGUACCUGCCAAAGCAACAUUCUAUGUUUGCGGCUCAACAGCAGGGCCAAUAUCAUCUUCUGCCUUCUGUUUUUGUGUAAGUGAACAGGAGGGCCAACCACUGAGAGUGGUCCU